GCAGAAGUAACAUUCCUUUGAACACUCAGCUUUCUGAAAUGGUGUCCCACCACAAGGACUGGAGAAGGGGUCUUCCUCUGCCACCCGGGCUGGAGUGUGCAGCAGCAUGACCAUGGCUCACUGCAGCUUCAACCUCUCAGGAUUAGGACUUUACUGAAGACUCUAAGGAGGACCUGUAUCUGUUGGGAUCCUUAGGGCAAGCCACAGAAACAAGCUUUGGAUACUUGAAGCAGAAAAUGGAGUUAUUGAAGACUAUUGUGGAGUUUACUGUGAGACAGAGAGCCAGGCUGGGGAGCUGUACCACUUAGAAUGAGAUCCAAACUCACACCAUAGUUCCAUCCUUGAGGUCACCAUGUUGCUGCCACCCCUCCUGCCACACCGCCACUGAAGCUUUGGAUGCUGGAUUCUGGGCACAGCUGGGAGAAGUGUUGCUUAUUACCAUUUUAAUAUGUUUUCUUUCAAGACCUUUUCAAAAUAUACAUACGUAUUUUUAUUUCUAUUCAAAAUGGGAUACAUUUUUGAAGGUUAGCAAUAUAUUGUGAACAUUUUCUUUCCAUGCUCAGAAACAUUUUUCCAUAGUAUAAUUUAUAGUGAUAUAUAGUAGACUAUCGCAUAGACCUACCAUGGUUUACCUAACAAAUCCCAAAUCAUUUGUGCCAUUUCUAAAUUUUUAUUAUCUUAUGCAAUGCUUUAAUGAACAUCCUUGCAUUUAUAUUUUAUACAAUUUUAGAAGUUGAAUUACUGGUUCAAAAUACAUGGUGAUUUUUAAUUCUUCUGUUGAAUAUUGACAAAUUUCAAAACUGAGAGUUAUCUUGAAGGAUAGAGUACAUGCCCAGCGUUCUUUUUUAAGAAAUAAUUUGUAAUGUGAAACAGAAUAGGCUAAAUGUUUUUUAUUCUCUUAGUCCUACUCUGUCAUUCUGCCGAGUUUCACUUAUUUGGAUUCAAAUUCUAAUUCCAGCCUACCUCUCUUUUUAUAUAAUUGUUAGGAGGAUUAAAUUAGAUGCAUAAAAUUGCUGCUUACUACACACAUUGCACAAACUAAAAACUUUUCAAAGGUUAACUGUUUUUCUGGUUUGUUUUUAGGAGACAGGUUCUUGCUCUGUUGCCCAGCCUGGAGUGCAGUGGUGUGAUCACGGCUCACUACAGCCUCAUCCGGCUGGGCUAAAGUGAUCCUCUUGCCUCAGCCUCCUGAGUAGCUAGGACUACAGGCACGUGCCACCAUACCCAGCUAUUUUUUUAAAAAGACAUUUUUGUUGAGGCCGGGUCCCCUUUGUUGUCCAGGCUGGUCUUAAACUCCUGGCCUCAAGCAAUCCUUCCACUUCUACCUCCCAAAGUGUUGAAAUUAGAGGUGUGAGCCAUUCCACCUGACCCAAAGGUUAACUAUUAUUGUUGUUGUUAUUAAUCUGUUUUUUUCCAUUCAUUUCCUCAUUAGUCAACUUUUAUCGUUUCAAUGUUAUUUUAUUGUUUUUCAAAGACUCCUUAUAGUCACAAUAGGUGCAUAAUAAAUUUUACCCUUUAAGGACACUGAGGUUCCAAAUGAAAAUGAUAUUUUUAAGGUGAAACAAUUAUAGAUAUAAAAACAACUUUUUUUCUCUGAGUACUAGAUUUCAUAUUAUCCUUAAUGUCUUUCUAGGAAGUAACCGAGUGAUUUCUCAUAAACUGGAAAACAUUAUUUCCACUGAUAUUCUUACAAAUAUUUAGGAUUAAAAAAAUGUAUUUUAAAUUCUUCUUGACAGAAAUCAUUUGUUGCAAUUACAUUGCCAAUUCAUAUAUAUAUUACAUAUAUGUCACCUUGACUUAUAGUAACCUGAAGGGGAAAUUUGUAGGUUUAGCAAAUCCCUUUGAGUAACACCCACAGAACUGAAAUCUUAUUCCAUUUCUUGGUGGUCUUCUACCAAUCCAGUCCUCCUGAGGACCAUAAAAACUAUUGGUUCUUCUCCUAAACUGCUGUAAAAUAUAUCCUGUGAGACCCAGGGGAAAAAUCUUUCUGAGGCUGAGCAUUCCAUGGAGACUCAAUAUUCCAGAUUUUGAAAUGCAGCUAGAAGUGGAAAUGGAUUUAUUUCUCAGGAUCUCUUUGUUCAUAAUUAAGGAUAUAAAAAAUAGAGUUCAGAAUGUGAGUGAAAUGUAAUUGAAAAGAAAAGCCUUGAUUUUACAUAUAAAAUAUCUUUACCAGAUGGGUGAAGUAAGGUAACUUAAGACAAUACUUAAAAUUCAAUAACAAUGAGGAAACUAUGAAAUACAAAACUUCUGGCACCCAUAAGCUAGUUCCUACAAAGAAGGUUAUCAUAUAUUGUUAAUGUGUUCACACACUUAACAAAUAUUAAUGUGUUCAUUACAUUUAAGUCAUGAGAACUUACACAUCAUUCAAUGGUGAUAUUAAUAAUAAUUCAGUAAUCAUUAAUGAUGUAUAUGCUGUUAAUAACCACAAGGCAAGUUUAUUUUUCUGUUUUCUCUGAGCUCACCUGACUUUCCCUAAUUUCUGAAGAAUUCAUUCUUUUCUUUGUGUGCUAAGAAAGAAAGGCAUUAAUAUUUAUUUAAUUUUAGUCAUUCAUUUAAAUAUCAUCUAUCUUGUAUUUAUGGGCAAUGUGUUUCUAUUUGUUGUCAAGAAUUUUUUAAUAAUUUGUGUAUUUUUCUAGCAGUAUUGUCUUCCAUUUUUCCCUCCACUUAUUGGGAAAAAUUGCUGAUUUCUUUCUUUCCCUUCCUCAAAGCCAUCAAAUAUAGAACGCAAUCCCUUGUGUGCUCAAUAAAAUAUCCCUGUGGAAUUCA